CCUAAUCCAAAAUUUUCACGCUCUCCCUCGCAAACUCUCUGCCCAAAACUUCAUCUCCCUCUCAAACUCUCGCCCCAAUUACUUCCAGCUCCCUCUCAAUUUUUCACUCCCUCUCAAACUGUCACCUUAAAACUUCAUCUCCUGAAAGUCUCUCUUUCUUCUCCCUCCUCCAUCACUGCCCCAUUCUUGCUAAAACUAUCAGAUGCUCAACCAUUACGAUUCACAGUGAGAAUCAUUCUUCCAUUUCAACGAUUCUCAAGCCAGCUCACACAAUUUCUCAAGCCCAGACUCUUAGACGGAAGUUUAAGUUGACGAUUGUGUGGUUUUGUCUAUCAGUGAAGCAUUUCCCUUUCCCCCAAAAGUUAGGGUUUUGAUCACACCCCACACCUCCUCUUCUGAACUAGUACUUCUGCCGUCUUUAAUCUUCAACGGAAAACAUGGAGCAAACUUUCAUCAUGAUCAAGCCUGAUGGGGUUCAAAGGGGCCUGGUUGGUGACAUCAUUAGCAGGUUUGAGAAGAAGGACUUCUAUUUGAAAGGU